rnacentral:tRNA from 1 species
ACAUUUUUAUUAUAACUAAUAUGCCUAACUUCCAAUUAGGAGACCUUGGUUCAAGCCCAAGAAAAUGUA